rnacentral:rRNA from 1 species
UGAGGAAUAUUGGUCAAUGGGCGAGAGCCUGAACCAGCCAAGUAGCGUGCAGGAUGACGGCCCUUUGGGUUGUAAACUGCUUUUAUGUGGGGAUAAAGUGCGUGACGUGUCAUGCAUUGCAGGUACCACAUGAAUAAGGACCGGCUAAUUCCGUUCCAGCAGCCGCGGUAAUACGGAAGGUCCGGGCGUUAUCCGGAUUUAUUGGGUUUAAAGGGAGCGUAGGCUGUCUAUUAAGCGUGUUGUGAAAUUUACCGGCUCAACCGGUGGCUUGCAGCGCGAACUGGUCGACUUGAGUAUGCAGGAAGUAGGCGGAAUUCAUGGUGUAGCGGUGAAAUGCGUAGAUAUCAUGACGAACUCCGAUUGCGCAGGCAGCUUACUGUAGCAUAACUGACGCUGAUGCACGAAAGUGAGGGUAUCAAACAGG